rnacentral:lncRNA from 1 species
AGUUGCAGAAUGGGUUGUGAAGCACAACAUUUCAUCUCUUUGAUUCUAGACACUAUCCUCAGAAAUUAGAUUUGAAAAAUGAGCUUCAUUUUCGAAGAACAUAUUGGGGAGAAUAAUUGACUCCAUUCAAGUGUUCGCUCCUGUUUCAAUCAACUAUGGCUGAAGAGUGAGGAGACAUUUGGAAUAAAUAUGGCUUCUGGGGGCCCAUUCCUAUGGAUCAGCAGCUGGCUUCUGGAGGCCCAUUCCUGUGAAUCGUCGAUCUCAUAGAAGAUAAUAUUGUUAGAAGGCUUACCUCAUUGAUGCUGAACAUCCUAAAAAGCUUCUGCUGCUUUGAGUCACUGAAAAAGACCAAGAAACAUGAAUUUAAAAAAAAAUUUCAAAUGUUAUAAAAUAAAUAAUAUGAACUCAUUAUACCUACAAUGAAUAAUUUAAAUUCUUCUUUGGUAGUCCAGCAUAGGUUUAGAAACUAUGAAAACCCUAGAAGAAAACCUAGGCAAUGCCAUUCAGGACAUAGGCACGGACAAAGAUUUCAUGACGAAGACGCCAAAAACAACUGCAACAAAAGCAAAAAUUGACAGAUGGGAUCUCAUUAAACUAAAGAGCUUCCAUACAGCAAAAGAAGCUACCAUGAGAGUGAACAGACAACCUAUAGAAAGGGAGAAAAAUUUUGCAAUCUGUUCAUCUGACAAAGGUCUAAUAUCCAGCAUCUACAAGGAACUUAAAUAAAUUUACAAGAAAAAAACAAACCCAUUAGAAAAUGGGCAAAGGACAUGAAAAGAUACUUCUCAAAAGACAUACAUGUGGCCAACAAUCAUACAAAAAAAA